GCCGGGAUGGCGGAACUGGUAGACGCAAGGGACUUAAAAUCCCUCGAAAUUACUUUCGUGCGGGUUCGACUCCCGCUCUCGGUACCA
rnacentral:tRNA from 1 species